UACGUAGGAUGCAAGCGUUGUCCGGAUUUAUUGGGCGUAAAGCGAACGUAGGCGGCUUCUUAAGUUUGGUCUUAAAGACCGGGGCUCAACCCCGGGAAUGGACUGAAUACUGGGAGGCUAGAGGAUGUCAGAGGAAAGUGGAACUCCUAGUGUAGCGGUGAAAUGCGUAGAUAUUAGGAGGAACACCAGUGGCGAAAGCGACUUUCUGGGACAUUUCUGACGCUGAGGUUCGAAAGCUCGGGGAGCAAACAGG
rnacentral:rRNA from 1 species